CGCGGCCGAGCGGCCUCGGCUGCGCUGGGGCUGCGCGGGGCGGGAGGGGCCCGGGGCAGCCUCCGCCCUGUCCCCGCCCCGGGGCAUCCCCGGCACUGGGGCGGCCCCGGGGGAAGCGCGGAAAUGCCGCCUCGGCUCCCGAGAGCGCAGCGCUCCUCGGGCAGCGCGGGGUGCGCUGGAAAGGGCUCUGGCUGCGAGGCUCGCACGGGCGCUGCAGGGAAGGGAAAGUGAAGGCACCGCCGGGACAUCGGUCUGGAGGCUCGGAAGGAUGGAAAGCCUCUGUGCAGCAAACAGCACUUUUGCUGUGGAGCUGUUAAGAAAGCUGUGUGAGAAGAAGAGUGGGCAGAAUGUGUUCUUUUCACCAUUUAGUAUUUCUUCUGCUUUGUCUAUGGUUUUGCUGGGUUCAAGAGGUAGCACUGAAGGCCAGAUAAGCAAGGUGCUUUCUCUGAAGAACACCCAGGAUGCUCACAAUGGGUAUCAAUCCCUUCUCUCUGAAAUCAAUGAUCCAAACACCAAAUACAUCCUGAGGACUGCAAACCGGCUCUAUGGAGAAAAGACCUUUGAGUUUCUUCC